AUGACGCCGGUCUGUAACAUUGGCAAUGCUCAGCUGAAUGUGGUGGCAGACCUCAUUGACCCCAGUAACUGGUCAUGGAGGGCUGACGUGGUUCGUGAAAAUUUCAUAGCCCCAGAUGCAGAUGCUAUUCUUAAUAUUCCACUGAGACAGGGAGGAGGUGAUGAUUCUUUGGCUUGGGCUUUUGAAAAAUCGGGUUGCUACACUGUAAGAUCAGCGUAUCAUGCUCUAAUGACUCGCAACGAGCAGCUUGCUCUAGAGGAAGGGACGACUACCGAAUCCUCAAUGACAGACAAACAGUUGUGGUCUCGUUUGUGGAAACUCAAGGUCAUACCAAGAGUGAGAGUUUUCUGGUGGAGGGUACUACAUGGCAUUCUUCCAGCAGAAGCAACUCUUAAACACCGUCAUAUUGCCACGGUUAGUACAUGCAAAAUAUGUCUUCACACCGACGAAGACAUGAUGCAUGCCCUACUGGAUUGUUCUCAUGCGAGGCAGUUUUGGGAUGCAGCCCCCCGAGUGGUUGAAUAUCAGAAGGCCGGUACUGCACCCACUAACCUGGUCAAGAGAUAUCUUGUGCGAUCAUAUGUUCUCAGAGUCAGAGAGAGCUAUUCUAGUGGCUGUAAUGUGGACGAUUUGGACCUCACGGAACAACAUCACCCACGACAAAUCUGCAUACAACCCUAUACAGUCUCAGAAAAGGGUAAGGGAGUCGCUAGCAGUUCUCGAGCUGCCGCGUGA
rnacentral:rRNA from 1 species